rnacentral:lncRNA from 1 species
CAAACGUUCAUUUCAGGGCAGUCACGAAUUUUCACUCCUCUGAAAAAUGGAAAUUCAGUAACAGGAUUUGUUAGAAAGAAAUGCCUCAGCUUAGGCAGUUCUUCAAGCUCCAACUUUUCCAACAGGGGAAAUAAGGUCAUGAUUUCUUCUCCUUGUUGUUCCUCUUCUGUGAUCACUUCUUCCAUUGACACACAAUUGUCUAUUAAUAUUCUUCGUAGAUUCAGUGCACCCCGAGCCACUGAUGGAGACAUCAAGUUUCUCAACUUUCCACAAUCCGAUACAUGCAAUGUUUCAAGUUUGCUGAAGUAGGCAGUUGGAAGUUGGUGAGAGCAUAGAGCACUUAUGCUUUCAAGUUUCCUGAUGAUUAGCUGGUGAGAGCAUAGAGCACUUAUGCUUUUAAGUUUCCUGAUGAUUAGCUCUUUCAAGUUAGGACAAGAAACCUGCAAACGUUGAAGUAUUAUAAAGCAAUUCAGAAUUUAAAAUUUAUAGAUAUCUCUAAUGAACUCAGGUUAAUAUCCAAUAACAAUCGCGUUCACAAUCAAGGAAUCUCUAGAUAUUACUAAUACAGAUUAAAGUCUCUAGGAAAAAGCUAUUAGAUUCACGUGAACCCUUGAGUUACAAUAUUGUAGCUUCGCUUAUAUUUCUUACCUCCGUUUACAUAGAUAUCAGGUGGCAAACAGAAAUAACUGUAUGAAAAUAUUACUAUUACUAUUAUUAUUUGCUAGUUAAAAUGGAAAGAUAGCAACAUACCAGGGGUGUAUUAAUGUAUGACACAAAUAUAUAUAGUAUUUAGUUAUAAAGCUAACGGCACAAGACAAACCUUAGAAUUGAACAUUGCUUUAUUGAGAUCAACUACUUUCACCUCAUCAGCAUUGUUCACACUUUCGAGACUCAGCGUACUCACAGAUAUUCCCUGUUGGACAAACAUCUUCAUUUCAUGGCAGUCACGAAUUCUCAAUUCUCUGAGAAAUGGAAAUUCAGUAACAUGCUUUGUCAAAAAGAAAUGCCUCAGCUUACGCAGUUCUUUAAGCUCCAACUUUUCCAACAGGGGAAAUAAGGUCAUGAUUUCUUCUCCUUGUUGUUCCUCUUCUGUGAUCACUUCUUCUAUCGACACACAAUUGUCUAUUAAUAUUCUUCGUAGAUUCAGUGCACCCCGAGCCACUGAUGGAGACAUCAAGUUUCUCAAGUUUCCACAAUCCGAUACAUACAAUGUUUCAAGUUUGUUGAAGUAGGCAGUUGGAAGUUGGUGAGAGCAUAGAGCACUUAUGCUUUUAAGUUUCCUGAUGAUUAGCUCUUUCAAGUUAGGACAAGAAACCUGCAAACGUUGAAGUAUGAUAAAGCAAUUCAGAAUUUGAAAUUUAUAGAUAUCUCUAAUGAUCUCAGGUUAAUAUCCAAUAACAAUCGCGUUCACAAUCAAGGAAUCUCUAGAUAUUACUAAUACAGAUUAAAGUCUCUAGGAAAAAGCUAUUAGAUUCACGUGAACCCUUGAGUUACAAUAUUGUAGCUUCGCUUAUAUUUCUUACCUCCGUUUACAUAGAUAUCAGGUGGCAAACAGAAAUAACUAUAUGAAAAUAUUACUAUUACUAUUAUUAUUUGCUAGUUAAAAUGGAAAGAUAGCAACACACCAGGGGUGUAUUAAUGUAUGACACAAAUAUAUAUAGUAUUUAGUUAUAAAGCUAACGGCACAAGACAAACCUUAGAAUUGAACAUUGCUUUAUUGAGAUCAACUACUUUCACCUCAUCAGCAUUGUUCACACUUUCGAGACUCAGCGUACUCACAGAUAUUCCCUGUUGGACAAACAUCUUCAUUUCAUGGCAGUCAUGAAUUCUCAAUUCUCUGAGAAAUGGAAAUUCAGUAACACGCUUUGUCAAAAAGAAAUGCCUCAGCUUACGCAGUUCUUUAAGCUCCAACUUUUCCAAUAGGGGAAAUAAGGUCAUGAUUUCUUCUCCUUGUUGUUCCUCUUCUGUGAUCACUUCUUCCAUUGACACACAAUUGUGUAUUAAUAUUCUUCGUAGAUUCAGUGCACCCCGAGCCACUGAUGUUGACAUCAAGUUUCUCAAGUUUCCACAACUCGAUACAUACAAUAUUUCAAGUUUGCUGAAGUAGGCAGUUGGAAGUUGGUGAGAGCAUAGAGCAGUUAUGCUUUUAAGUGUCCAGAUGGUUAGAUCUUUCAAGUUGGGACAAGAAA